ACGGGGCUCGGGCCCCCCUUUCCGAGUGCGCUGGAGAGCCACUGGAGGCUUUUUGCAGGACUUUGCAAGCCAGUGAGGAGGACACACCGGGGCAGGAGGCUCUUGCAGAAACGAGAACACCAGCUUCCUGGAAGUGCCGAGAGCUCGGUUUUGUUCCCUGCUGGGUCCCAGUGACUGGAAGACUGGCUGGCACGUAACAGGCCCUCGGCAUAUAUUUGCUGCAUAAAUAAUGGGACCACAGGAACACUAGGACCACAAGAGAAAAAUGAUCGGAAGUCAUGGCCAGGCAAUUCACCUCACAAAAGACCCCUCUAGGAUACCUGCUGUCCCGGUGCCCCUCCUGGCCCUCUGCUGCUCCUGUCAGCUCUACACAAACCUCCACCAUGGCCCCGGGGCUGAGGCUCAGCGUGGGCCUCGGAGCCACACAGUCUGGACCUUCUCCCUGAGCAGAAUGAGCUUGUCUUACUGGUGUGAUGGAAAACACAAUCCCUGGAGUACCAGGUAGCCACAGAAACCGUAAUUUAUCUGGACCUUAAAUGUCCCCAAACACCUGAACAUCCACCUCAUUCAAUCCUUAAAAAACAUUUUAAGUCGGUGCUGCCC